UACGGGGGAGGCAAGCGUUGUUCGGAAUUACUGGGCGUAAAGGGCUCGUAGGCGGCCAACUAAGUCAGACGUGAAAUCCCUCGGCUUAACCGGGGAACUGCGUCUGAUACUGGAUGGCUUGAAUCCGGGAGAGGGAUGCGGAAUUCCCGGUGUAGCAGUGAAAUGCGUAGAGAUCGGGAGGAACAUCUGUGGCGAAGGCGACUGCCUGGACCAGCACUGACACUGAGGCACGAAAGCGUGGGGAGCAAACAGG
rnacentral:rRNA from 1 species